rnacentral:rRNA from 1 species
AUAUCAAUAAGCGGGGAAAAGAAACUAACAAGGAUUCCCCUAGUAACUGCGAGUGAAGCGGGAAAAGCUCAAAUUUAAAAUCUGGCGGUCUCUGGCCGUCCGAGUUGUAAUCUAGAGAAGUGUUAUCCGCGCUGGACCGUGUACAAGUCUCCUGGAAUGGAGCGUCAUAGAGGGUGAGAAUCCCGUCUUUGACACGGACUGCCAGGGCUUUGUGAUGCGCUCUCAAAGAGUCGAGUUGUUUGGGAAUGCAGCUCAAAAUGGGUGGUAAAUUCCAUCUAAAGCUAAAUAUUGGCGAGAGACCGAUAGCGAACAAGUACCGUGAGGGAAAGAUGAAAAGAACUUUGGAAAGAGAGUUAAACAGUACGUGAAAUUGCUGAAAGGGAAACGCUUGAAGUCAGUCGCGUUGGCCGGGGAUCAACCUUGCUUUUGCUGGGCGUACUUUCCGGUUGACGGGUCAGCAUCAAUUUUGACCGUUGGAUAAAGUCCAGGGGAAUGUGGCAUCUUCGGAUGUGUUAUAGCCCUUGGUCGCAUACAACGAUUGGGAUUGAGGAACUCAGCACGCCGCAAGGCCGGGUACUUGUACCACGUUCGUGCUUAGGAUGCUGGCAUAAUGGCUUUAAUCGACCCGUCUUGAAACACGGACCAAGGAGUCUAACAUGCCUGCGAGUGUUUGGGUGGAAAACUCGGACGCGUAAUGAAAGUGAAAGUUGAGAUCCCUGUCGUGGGGAGCAUCGACGCCCGGACCAGACCUUUUGUGACGGAUCCGCGGUAGAGCAUGUAUGUUGGGACCCGAAAGAUGGUGAACUAUGCCUGAAUAGGGUGAAGCCAGAGGAAACUCUGGUGGAGGCUCGUAGCGAUUCUGACGUGCAAAUCGAUCGUCAAAUUUGGGUAUAGGGGCGAAAGACUAAUCGAAYCAUCUAGUAGCU